GCUGAUAGGGCUGCUUUAGCAGGCUACUGUGAUAUAGUAGUUGUAGAAAUUUAUUCUCGUCGGUA
rnacentral:tRNA from 1 species